AAGUCGUAACAAGGUUUCCGUAGGUGAACCUGCGGAAGGAUCAUUACCAAAGUAUCCAAUACCUAUCCUAUGUGAACUGUUUCCUUUCACUGGCCUAUGCUAACUAGUACAGCUUUUUUGUGCGGGGUGCUUUUGGCUGAAUGGAUUUCUGGUUUGCCCCUGAGGGCUUAGUGAUGGUAGUCGACCUUUGGUUGGCCCUUCUGGAACGACGAAAAUGUUGGGCUAUGGAAGAGCUCGGUUGGCUGUUGGUUAGACGCGUUCGCGUGUUGAGCCACACCCAUCUGGGUUCUUUCUUGCCACAGUGUUUAGCUAUUUCGAGGACCUACCCAGUCGGCUUACUUGAUCUUGCUCAAAAGGAUGAACUAGCCACCGGUCAAGAUCCCCCACCACACGAAAAAGAGGGAAAGUUAGGGUUCCAAACACAAUGAUAUAACCUCGGGAUUUAUUUUCGAGUUUUAUUGUUUGCUUGGAGCUGCUGGUGAGAGCUGUCCAACCUACUUGGCUAAUACAAAAGUCUGAAGUACGUUAAAAGUAAUAAAAAACAACUUUCAGCAACGGAUCUCUUGGCUCUCGCAACGAUGAAGAACGCAGCGAAAUGCGAUACGUAAUGUGAAUUGCAGAACUCCGUGGAUCAUCGAAUUUUUGAACGCAUAUUGCACUCUGUGGUAUUCCGCAGAGUAUGCCUGUUUGAGUGUCAGUAAAUCUUCUCAAACCUUUACGGGUUUGGAUCUGAGCUUCUGGUAGCCUUUAACAAGCGUUACUUGUGGCUUUAAAUGCAGUGGUGAGCAGUUACUUGACUUCUGCUCUGGCUAGUCAAUCAGAUCCGAUUUAACUAUUGGAGCUUGUGACAUCUUAGCCUUGCAGUCAGAACUUGAAACUGGCUACCUUUGAACCCAACCAAAGUGCGGUAACACACUUUGAACUUGACCUCAAUCAGGUAGACUACCCGCUGAACUUAA
rnacentral:rRNA from 1 species